rnacentral:lncRNA from 1 species
CAGAGAUCCAGCCAAAGAAUACCAGCCUUACAGGAUUCUUUGUUGUCUGUGGACAAUAAAGUUUCCUGCUCAAACAUAAGCUCUGCUGGUAGCUGUGGAUCUUGCCUGUGAGUACUUCACUGGGUAGUCGUCACGCUCCUCCUUGGGUGGGCAGGAGCUGCAGAGGAGACCCCCUCCCAGGAUCAGGAGCCCUGCGGUGCCCCAGCCGAUGUAUAGCGAGGCCCCCAGCUCCCUCCUCUGGGCCUCGACCAACAGGGGGUUGUAGAAAUCCCUGAUGAUGGUGUUGGCGGACCAGCAGACAGGGACGAGGAUGAGGACGCCAGCCACGAUGAAAAUGAUCCCACUGGCAAUGGCUACUUUAGCUUUGGAAGCCUCAUCCUCCACGAAGUUGGUGCACUUUCCUCCAGCAAUUCCCAGGAGGAUGCCGAAGCAUGACGCGAUGAUGGCAAUGACGCUCAGAGCUCUGGCAGCUUGCAGGUCCUGGGGUAAGGCCAGAAGGGAGUCGUAGAUCUUGCACUGCAUCUGUCCCGUGCUCUGGGUUACACAGUUCAUCCACAGGCCCUCCCAGAUGACCUGAGCAGUCACGAUGUUGGCUCCGAUGAAGGCUGUGACUUUCCACAUAGGCAGGGCACACACAAUGAUGGUCCCCAGGAACCCGAUGAUAGCCAGGACGAAGCCCAGCAUCUGUCUUCCCAUCGACACCAUUUUGAAGACUUCUUGUUUUUUGUUGUAAAAUCAAUGAAGCUUAGGCAGAGGUUGUAGAGGAGAGUCAAUGCAGGUCAGCUCAGCUUGGUUGCAAUCGCUGUUAUCUAAUGGCUCAGUCACAUCCCCUGAAGUUAUAUGGAUCUCUCUGCUCCUGAAAGGUGGAGUCAACCUCUUUCCCCCUGACCUGAAACCAGUUGACAUGGUAAUUUUCAAACCGGACCAGAUUCUUUCACUUCCCCGGUCGGUAUGUGUGGUUGACGACCGGUUUCGAUGAGAUGUGCAAUCAAUCUCUUUGGACACGCUAACGAAAACAAGACCUGUGAACAGAUAGUAAUUUGUCCAUUCAAACAAUGCCUCUGUAGUGAACGCUGGAUAGCUGGGAGGUUAGACCUGUCUGCUCACAGGUUAUGGUAGAGACAUAAGCUGUCCACAAUGCCACCUGAAUUAGUCAUGGCAGGAAGUUCGACGCUACUAAUUUUGUUCCACGCUUUCAUGACGACAUUGUUUAUUGCAACAAUUUUUUCCUCUAGUCAAGUUGCUAAUACCACCAGAAUUGUGAUUUGUCAUAGCCAGAAGUAAGUUUAGGCCUAUAUUCACUUUCUGUUUUCUUGGUUUUGAUCCUG